AUCGCUUCUCGGCCUUUUGGCUAAGAUCAAGUGUAAAAUUGUACCUUGUUCUUUUCUCUGUUUUAUGUUUCUUCAGAGCCCUUAACUUCAUUAUGAAAUUUACUUAUUAAUAUUGUCUGACAUUCAGAACCUAUGAGGCCACUUGUUCCUCUCUAGUUCAUUAUCAGUGCUCAGACCAGUGGUUGA